CCUGCCCAGAAGCGGGGGAUAACACCUGGAAACAGAUGCUAAUACCGCAUAACAACUUGGACCGCAUGGUCCGAGCUUGAAAGAUGGCUUCGGCUAUCACUUUUGGAUGGUCCCGCGGCGUAUUAGCUAGAUGGUGGGGUAACGGCUCACCAUGGCAAUGAUACGUAGCCGACCUGAGAGGGUAAUCGGCCACAUUGGGACUGAGACACGGCCCAAACUCCUACGGGAGGCAGCAGUAGGGAAUCUUCCACAAUGGACGAAAGUCUGAUGGAGCAACGCCGCGUGAGUGAAGAAGGGUUUCGGCUCGUAAAACUCUGUUGUUAAAGAAGAACAUAUCUGAGAGUAACUGUUCAGGUAUUGACGGUAUUUAACCAGAAAGCCACGGCUAACUACGUGCCAGCAGCCGCGGUAAUACGUAGGUGGCAAGCGUUGUCCGGAUUUAUUGGGCGUAAAGCGAGCGCAGGCGGUUUUUUAAGUCUGAUGUGAAAGCCUUCGGCUCAACCGAAGAAGUGCAUCGGAAACUGGGAAACUUGAUGCAGAAGAGGACAGUGGAACUCCAUGUGUAGCGGGUGAAAUGCGUAGAUAUAUGGAAGAACCACCAGUGGCGAAAGGCGGCUGUCUGGUCUGUAACUGACGCC
rnacentral:rRNA from 1 species